UGGGGAAUAUUGCACAAUGGGGGAAACCCUGAUGCAGCGACGCCGCGUGGGGGAUGACGGCCUUCGGGUUGUAAACCUCUUUCAGUAGGGAAGAAGCCUCUUGGGGUGACGGUACCUGCAGAAGAAGUACCGGCUAACUACGUGCCAGCAGCCGCGGUAAUACGUAGGGUACAAGCGUUGUCCGGAAUUAUUGGGCGUAAAGAGCUCGUAGGUGGUCUGUCGCGUCUGCUGUGGAAACGCAACGCUCAACGUUGCGCGUGCAGUGGGUACGGGCGGACUGGAGUGCAGUAGGGGAGUCUGGAAUUCCUGGUGUAGCGGUGAAAUGCGCAGAUAUCAGGAGGAACACCGGUGGCGAAGGCGGGACUCUGGGCUGUAACUGACGCUGAGGAGCGAAAGCAUGGGGAGCGAACA
rnacentral:rRNA from 1 species